GCCCUUAAGCAAAAAAAUUAGUAUGCAUCCUCUCAGGCGAUAGGUACCCACCUUCGUUUAUAAAACUUAAAUUCUCCAGGACCCUCCAGGUAAGUGCAAACUUACUUUGCAUGCCCUUUCUCGAAGAGCAAAUCCACACGAACUAGAUCUAGCUCUUCCACUAAGCUUUAAGUAGCUCUGACUCCAUCGGAACACACCAUGCUCCACAUGGCAUCUAUUGGAGACUGACUU
rnacentral:lncRNA from 1 species